AUUCCCCUGCACCUAGCCUCCCAAGAAGGUCACUUCGCAGUGGCUGAACUCCUGGCCACCAAGGGGACGGACCUGGAAGCGAAGACCAACCAAGGAUGCCACUCCAUUGUACGUAGCGUCCUAUAAUGGUCACGUCGCUGUCGUUGAGUCACUGGUUGCCAAAGGAGCUGACCUCAACGCGAAGCGAAUAGAUGGAUGCACUCCAUUGUUCAUAGCGUCC